rnacentral:rRNA from 1 species
GCAUAUCAAUAAGCGGAGGAAAAGAAACCAACAGGGAUUGCCCCAGUAACGGCGAGUGAAGCGGCAACAGCUCAAAUUUGAAAUCUGGCCCUCGGGUCCGAGUUGUAAUUUGUAGAGGAUGCUUUUGGCGAGGUGCCUUCCGAGUUCCCUGGAACGGGACGCCAUAGAGGGUGAGAGCCCCGUCUGGUCGGACACCGAGCCUCUGUAAAGCUCCUUCGACGAGUCGAGUAGUUUGGGAAUGCUGCUCAAAAUGGGAGGUAUAUGUCUUCUAAAGCUAAAUAUUGGCCAGAGACCGAUAGCGCACAAGUAGAGUGAUCGAAAGAUGAAAAGCACUUUGAAAAGAGGGUUAAAAAGUACGUGAAAUUGUUGAAAGGGAAGCGCCUAUGACCAGACUUGAGCCCGGUGAAUCAUCCAGCGUUCUCGCUGGUGCACUUUGCCGGGCCCAGGCCAGCAUCAGUUUGGCGCGGGGGAUAAAGGUGACGGGAAUGUGGCUCCCUCGGGAGUGUUAUAGCCCGCUACGUAAUACCCUGCGCCGGACUGAGGUACGCGCAUUGCAAGGAUGCUGGCGUAAUGGUCAUCAGCGACCCGUCUUGAAACACGGACCAAGGAGUCGUCUUCGUAUGCGAGUGUUCGGGUGUCAAACCCCUACGCGUAAUGAAAGUGAACGCAGGUGAGAGCUUCGGCGCAUCAUCGACCGAUCCUGAUGUUCUCGGAUGGAUUUGAGUAAGAGCAUACGGGGCCGGACCCGAAAGAAGGUGAACUAUGCCUGUAUAGGGUGAAGCCAGAGGAAACUCUGGUGGAGGCUCGCAGCGGUUCUGACGUGCGAAUCGAUCGUCAAAUAUGGGCAUGGGGGCGAAAGACUAAUCGAACCUUCUAGUAGCUGGUUUCCGCG